GAUGAACGCUGGCGGCGUGCCUAAUACAUGCAAGUCGAGCGAACGGACGAGAAGCUUGCUUCUCUGAUGUUAGCGGCGGACGGGUGAGUAACACGUGGAUAACCUACCUAUAAGACUGGGAUAACUUCGGGAAACCGUAGCUAAUACCGGAUAAUAUUUUGAACCGCAUGGUUCAAAAGUGAAAGACGGUCUUGCUGUCACUUAUAGAUGGAUCCGCGCUGCAUUAGCUAGUUGGUAAGGUAACGGCUUACCAAGGGAACGAUGCAUAGCCGACCUGAGAGGGUGAUCGGCCACACUGGAACUGAGACACGGUCCAGACUCCUACGGGAGGCAGCAGUAGGGAAUCUUCCGCAAUGGGCGAAAGCCUGACGGAGCAACGCCGCGUGAGUGAUGAAGGUCUUCGGAUCGUAAAACUCUGUUAUUAGGGAAGAACAUAUGUGUAAGUAACUGUGCACAUCUUGACGGUACCUAAUCAGAAAGCCACGGCUAACUACGUG
rnacentral:rRNA from 1 species